GCCCCCGUAGUUCAAUGGAUAGAAUAGCGCUCUCCUAAAGCGUAGAUCCGGGUUCGAUUCCCGGCGAGGGUA
rnacentral:tRNA from 1 species